AUUGAUAUUUAAAUAUUAAUCCAUAGUAAACUAAUUACUGCAGGUAUUUCAAAACCAUACAUUGAUUAUAUCUAAAGUGGAAACAACGGACGGCGGUAAAUAUAAGUGCGUGGCGUCCAAUUAUCUAGGACGAAAAUCUUUCGAGGCGAUGGUUAACGUAAUCGGUUUGGCGGAAAAUGGUUGUAAUACCGUGUUUGGAGUAACACCAUGUUUUUUUUGUAUUAUUAUUAUAUUAGCAAAUUGCCUAUUGUAUAAUGACAUAUUGUAAAAAAUGUAUUAUUAUUUUUUUUUGACUUGUGUAUUGUAUAUUUUACAAUUAAUAUGCAUAUUGUAAAAUAUAAUAUAAAGUAACAACUGCAGAACUGGCAGAACUACAAU